CUCAUCAAGAGCAGUGGAGGGAACGGCCCAAUGAAGCUGCGGCAACCAUCCCAUCCGGCAGGGUGCGGAACGGUGCCAAUUCCGCAGGCCCAGCCCUGCAAGAUGAGA
rnacentral:ncRNA from 1 species